UGUAAGAACACAAAGUAUUCUUAAAGACCCUUAAAAAAAUCAUAAAAAAAUAACAUAGAAAAUCAAAAAUAUACUAAAAUAGAAAUCUUAAUAAAAUACUAAAAUUGAAACCAUAAUUAAAUCCUAGUCAAAUUUUAACCAAAUCUUAAAUAAAUCCUAGUCAAAUCCCAACAAAUCCUAAUAAAAUUCUUAACAAAUCUUAACCAAAUUCUAGUCAAUUCCUAAAUAAAUCCUAACCAAAUCCUUAACAAAUCCUAACCAAAUUCUAAUCAAAUCCUAAAUAAAUCUCAAUCAAAUCCUAACCAAAAUCUAACCAAAUCUUAGUCAAAUCUUAAAUAAAUCCUAAUCAAAUCCUAAACAAAAUCUAACCAAAUCCUAGUUUAAUUCUAAUUAAAUUUUAACCAAAUUCUAAAAAAAUCUAAACUAAUUUUAACCAAAUCCUAAUAAAAUCCUAAAUAUACUCUAACCAAAUCCUAAAUAAUUCUAAGUAAUUUCUAUAGUAGAUUUAAAUCUCAAUAACUAAUGAAUAAACUAUUUAUUUUAAUUCAAAUUUUGUACACCUCUUUACAAUUAAGUUGAAAAUAAGCAAAUUUUUUUUAAAAAAGAUCAAAUUCACUUAAAAGAAGAUCAACCCUAAUAUUUGCAUAGAUGUUAGCUAGCUUCCUUCUCCAAUCUGAAUGUUGAAUUUCUAAUGCCAAUAUUUCCUUAUCAAACCAUUUAAUUGAUCUCAAAUUUCUUAUAUAUGUAGAAAAAUAAGUCUACUAUCUACACAAAUAAUUUUUACUCCAAUCCAAUUGAUAGAUUGCAAGAAAUCUUAAAAUCCUUCAU
rnacentral:lncRNA from 1 species